GUGGUCAUAGCUCAGUUGGUAGAGCACCGGGUUGUGGUCCCGGUUGUCGCGGGUUCGAGUCCCGUUGGCCACC
rnacentral:tRNA from 1 species